CGCUGGGGACCAAGCCACAUCGAAGGCAAGUGCUGAGAGCCACCACCGCCAGUGCCGGAGACACGAGACUGCCUGAAGUUACGUUUAGAGGCUGGAAUCUCUGCACCUUGCAAACAAAGAGCCCGACCUCCUCUGCGUUCCUCUCCCGGGCGAUCAAUCACUCCACGGAUUCCUCAGCAAGGGGCAGCGCCUCAGCUCCGGCAGAUCAAUAGAGUUUUCCCAAGCAAGCUGAUGAGGCAUUGGUCUUGGGCAACAGCCCAUUUAAGGGCAGACGUGGCUCCCCCUGCUCCCGGGCCCCAAUGAACGCCUGCACUAGGCCCCAGGCCUGGAGUGAUUUGCCCGAGGAGUGA
rnacentral:lncRNA from 1 species